UGUGACCUGCCUCCUCUUUCCACACAAAUUCUCUCCUCCAGAAGAGACCCCAUGAUUUCUCUGGCUACCAGCUCAUAGGGUUUAAGAGUGUUGCUCAGGGUCCAGAUUUGUUCAGGUGGCCAACAGCAGUGAAUGCAGGUACCUAUUGCGCCCCCCCCCCAUCCCGAUUUUUCACACUUGCUAUCUGGUCACCCUAAAGAAGGGAGAGCAGCCAUCCAGUGUCUCUGAAGAUCUUGGGAGAACUGAGCCACCAAGCAAGACUCCACCCAGAUGACUUCAGUGACAAGCUCAGCAAACCUGAAGCAAAAGGAGAACAGGAAGUUGGCUAUGACUUCAUCAAUGAUGAAUGAGACGGCAGCCUUUGAUCAUAACAACAGAGAAACUGGUUUGGAAAGGCUUCUGUGUCAGCCAACCAUCUUAAGGAAGAAUUCUGAGCUCAAUUCUGAAAAGGUACUAUUAAAACAAACAGUCUUGAUAUCAUGAAAUACCUAAAACCUUGAUCCUACAAGGAGAUCCACUUGCAUAGACCCAUGUGCCCAAGUGGAAUCUGAGUCAAGAUUUCCAGAACAGAGAGAUUUGAAUAAACAUUGAAAAGGAACCAAAUCUUUCAACAUUUGCCCAUCAUUAGUUUAGCAACAAAUUCUAAAAUGCUGAAAAGAAAUACUUUUCCAAAAAGGAUUAGACCUUUAUAUGGGUAACAAGAGGAUGCUAAAUUACAUUCAAUAGGACAAAAUUAGAUGGGUUGUAAACUCACAUGCUUCAGUGCAUAAACUGGCCACUAAACGAGGCGGCUUACUAAGAAAUUUCUUGUUUGCAGGUUAUUUCAUAGUGGUCCAUUAUGGGAUUUCUUUCAUUUUCCCCUGAAGCACCUGAUUACUAAUCACCAUCAGAGACAGGUAGGGCUGUUCAGAACACUGAUUUUUCCCAUGAGAAAUUUUGGAUGAAAAAAAAUCUUCAUUCUAAGUAUUUCAGCUGAAAAACUUCAGUUUUCCCAUGGGAAGUGUUGAAUGAAUUCUAAAUAAAAAUUCUCAUUUUCAAUUGACCUUUCAAAAUGAAACGACAAUAUUCAUUUUAUGUCAUCUUAAAGUAUUUUUCCAUUCUGAGCAAAGAACUGAAAAUAAUUCUAAGACAUGGUUGUUCUUCUUACUUUGAUGGUUACAAUUUUAUCUUUCAUUUACAAUUGAUUUUUCAGUUCAGCAGCUUAAUAAAAAGCUAAUAACCCUCCUACCAACCCCAAAAGCCACCCCCUCCCCAAAAUAAAUCAAACCAACCUCCCCACCCCAAAACAAACAAACAAAAACCUAGAUUUUUUUUGUUUUGGGUUGAACAAAACUUUGUUUGCCCUGUAAUAAUUUCCCCACCCCUUUAGUUAUUUUUGGGAGGGGUACAGAAACGUGUUGCCCUUUUUUGUUUGUUUUUAAAUAAAUCUAGAACAAUUUUGAAACAAAACAUUGUUUCAAAACAAAAAAGUUGAAAUGGUUUCAUUUCAAAAGUAUAAAAAUGAAACCUUUUGACUUUGAAAUACCUCCCCUCUUUUUUUUUUCUUGCUGAAACUAUUCACCAAUUUUGCUCCAGAUUCACGAAUAGUUUUGGUGCACUGCAGUUUUGGGCAAAUAAACUAAAUUUCUCUAAUUACUACUCCCAUAGCAGCAUCCACUGAAACUUCACUUACAAAUUCUACCAUUUUUUUUUUCUAAUCAUGUCAACCAUGGAAUGGAGUUUCACCUGCUCAGCAUUUAUCAAGGUAUUUCAGAGGGCAACAGGCUCUUAGGAACAUCUGCAUUAUAACUGAAUAUGAAAUUACAGAGUUACUAGACUUAAAUGGCUUGAACAACAAAUUAACUGCUGAUGAAUUAUCAUCUAGAUGAAUUUUUCUGUCUUUGUGUUUCUUUGGUCUUGAAAAAACAAGUCAAAAUUAAAAUAAUCUGUGUUGAAGUGUUGCAGUGACAGUUACUGCUGAGGAGACAUUUUCACUGUAGAAAAGGUCUAUUGCUACGAAGUCCAUUGAAGUCUGACACUGAAUGACAUAGGAGGGUGGGUUGAGAGCAUUUUAAAUAUCAAUGUUGUAUUCUUGGGACAGUGUAACCUAUGAUGAAUACAACACUUUAAUUGCAUCUUGCCAUUUGUAUGUGCUCCAAACACAAGUGAGAAGUUUGGGAUUCUAGUUGCAGGUU